UGCACACGUAUAAAAAUUGCGGUUUUUAUCCAACGCAAUCAUAUGUUUGAACGUUGUUUUCAGUUUAGACUUGUUUAUAUAUAUAUAUAUAUGUAUUUUUUUACAGUUGAUUUAUUUCCAGAUGUAUAUAUAUGCAUGUAAAAUGUCAAACUUAUGCUGAACGCAAAAUUUAUGUUCUGAAUUCAUAAAAACUGUUAGAGUGAAUCAAACAACAUACACAACUGCUACAUUGCAUUGCCUCCUGUUUUUGUCGAACCUGCGAGAUUUAUUUCGGGAAAGCGAGACAUAGCGAUCCUAGAUUCCGUCGUCGGCGUCGUCGUCGUCAGCAUUUAGGUUCAGUCUGUGGUUAAAGGUUUUAAGAUCAUCAAUAACUUCAUAAAUCUAAAAUGGAAUUUUAUGAAAUUUGAACAUAAGCUUGUUUAUGACCAAAAUACAGUAUCAAGCGCAAAAUUUUGAAAAUAUUUAUUUUCAUUUUUCCGUUUUUGACUGAUAAAUGGACUUAGUUUUUUUACAUUUAACAUUCAUAUUCAGUUUGAGGUUAAAGUUUUUCAGUUAUCAUGGAAUUUUAUGAAAUUUGAACAGGAGCUUGUUUAUGACCAAAAUACAGUAUCCAGAGCAAAACUUGAAAAUAUUUAUUUUCAUUUUUCCGUAUUUUACUGAUCAAUGGACUUAGUUUUUUUUUACAAUUAACAUUCAUAUUCAGUCUGGGGUUAAAGUUUUUCAGUCAUCAAUAACUUUGUCAACUCUUCAUGGUAUUUAAUGAAAUUUGGACAGAAGCUUGUUUAUGACUUAAAUACAGUAUCCAGAGCAAAAAUUUGAAAAUAUUUAUUUUCAUUAUCUUGUAUUUUACUGAUAAAUGGACUUAGUUUUUUUACAAGUAUAUACAGUCUUGGGUUAAAGUUUCUUACACAACAAUUACUUUGUCAAACCUUCAUAGAAUUUAUGAACCUUUGGUAGAAGCUUUUUUAUGAUUAAGAAAUUAUGUGUGAUGCAAACUUUCGAAAAUCUGUAUUGAUUUUCAGUUUUUACAGUUACAAUUUACAGACAGUCUGGGAUAAAAUUUUUUAGACAUGAUAAAUUUGUUAACCUUCAUAGAUUGUUGUGAAACUGGGUCUGAAGCUAAUCUUUAAGACUAAGAAAUAGCAUCUAAAGACAAAGGUUGCAUGUUUUUUAUUUUGAGUUCUGUAUUUUACUGAUAAAUGGACUCACAUUUUAUGUCAACAUUACACUUUUACACUGACAGCAGCAAUCGCAGUUGAGACACAGGGUUCUGCGGAACCCCUUUCGACUUUUUAUAGAAAGAUUUUGUUGCGACUUGUGUCAUCUUUUAUCAUGGUAUGUGUUUGUCCCCUCCUACAGACCUUUCCAGAGAAACCCCCACAAUUGUUCAGUAUAAACAAAGCAAGUUAUUUGAUAGUUACGUAUGCAAAAAUGUCAUUUCUUGGCUUCUUUCCUUUGGGAAAAAAAUAAGCUUGUUUCUCUUUCAACUAAAUAAAAUGUACCUAUACAUUUCACAAAAACAAAACAAAUAUUAAUGAGCAUAAAACAAAAACAAAAACUUUAUAACUUUUCCUUAAUAUUAACCGUUUGAGUUUAAUUAAAGGACACCGGCCACUUCAAACUAUCAUUUGUAAAAUAAAUCGUAAUGGGAUGUAAACAUCGUUUAUUUCGUAGAUUAGUGUGUAACACAUAUCGUAUGUCUAUAAAAACAGGUUGUAUCAGCUUGAAAUAACCCUUUUCCGGACAUUGCCGAUAAUUGCCGACAAUUAAUAAGCAUCGUCCCGAAUGACUGCGUGACGUUACUUGUGUUGUUUACAUUCGCCAUACCACGACAAACACAGCUAUUUCCAACUCAAAUUAGACAAAGUAUUCAAUGGAUUUCGACGGACAGGACAGCGGUGAUGAGCCAUUUAUAACUGCUGUUGAUAAUAUUCAACCGUAUCAGUUCGAGCCUGUUGUUCAUAUUGAACAAAACGAAGUGAGCAGUCAAAAUCAAUCGGACUCUGAGGAAAAUUCUGAAGUCGACGAAUCUGACUCCUCUGACCUGCAAGAUAGCCGGAUGGAUAACUUGGCAUGGUAUGGUUGAUUGUCCAACAUUGUCUAACAUGAUUAAAUAACUAACAUAACCAAGCCUCCGUAGAUGUAAAUGUGUUUUGGUUUUUUGUUCUUUAUUAAAAAAGGGGGGUUGACAUGUAUAUCAUACACAUUUGCCGACACUCGUAUAUUAAAAAACUCCCUGAACUACAUACAGAGUCAAAUGAAAUGAGAUAAUGCCAUACUUUCAUUUUCAAAGAAGAAGAUGAUGAAUAAGGCCUACAGACUAUUAGUUUUUAUUUAAAAAAUAGGUUCUGAUUUUGUUGUACAUUUUGUACAUGUAGUAAUUACUCACAAUGAUAUGGAAUUAAUGUUAAAAUGUGCCAUGCUAUUCAUUUCACACUGAUGCAUUGUUACCUUUUUUAUGAAUUACUUGACCGUUUUUUACAAAUCUACAUAAUAAUGGAUUUUAAGGAUUUAUUGUAAAAUAUUUGCAAGUCAAAUCUACGUAGUACAUUAAAUUUCCCAGGUGUGACUGUAACAACUGCACUGUAAUAACCACUGUGAAUGAAUGCCUUUGUUGCAAGGAAGUUGGUCCAGUUGUAGAAAAGAUGGAAGAUGGGGACCUUAAUUGCAUAACAGACCAUGAGGGGUUUACUGGAAACUGUCUAAAUAGACAUGUCAUUGGGGUCUCUUUGUAUGACUUUGUUGAAAGGCAGGGACCAGUAGAUGAUAAUGAACCAAUUCAUGCAUUAUAUAGAUAUAUUGCAUACAGACGAUUCACUCAGGCCAUGAUAAUUUGAAAAAAAAUAUUUCAUGAAGCUCUCAAUUUCCCGCCCAUAUAUGUGGUUAAAAUCUGUGUAUAUUUCAUGUUUCCACGACCUAGUAAUGAAAGAUAAAAACAAUUGAUUACAUGGUGUUGAGUGUGGUAAAUACAAGGAUAAUGGUGAAGAGUUGUUUUGAACAAUGAUCACAUAAUAUAUUAAAACAAAUGUACAAGUAUGCAAAGUUGAGAAAUGAUGUCAGUUACUAGCAAAACGACUUGUCCGAUGUCUUAUUAGCUCCUCCUUAUCAAAAUGAGCAUUUGAUGCUGUUAGUGGAGGAAGUCUCUGGUAUACAAUGUUAAAGUCCUCUAAAGCUUCUUUAAUGCUUGACAAGUUAUUUCGUCUGUCAAAAGUUCUUUUCAGAAGAGCUCCAACAUAAUCUACAAGACAAAUAGAAACAAUAUGUAGUAGCUCAGCCUCUAAUUCACAUAACUUAGCAGUUCGAAUUUAUAAAUGCACUUACAUGCAUGUGCAUUAUGCAUUUUGAGAAUACAAACUUAUUCAAUUUCAAUUGUACAAAAAGAGACUCAUUCUGCUGUAAAUAAACCUUUAAAAUUCCCAUAUAUAAAAAUAAACUGCUGAAGAGCAAUAUUAUUACAAAGUAAAUGUCUUGCAUAGUG